rnacentral:rRNA from 1 species
ACGAGAGGUCCGAGCGUUAAUCAGAAUCACUGGGCUUAAAGCGUACGCAGGCGGACCGGUAGGUACCUUGUGAAAUCCCACGGCUUAACCGUGGAACUGCAGGGUAAACCCCCGGUCUUGAGGCAGGUAGGGGUCAGUGGAACCAUGAGUGGAGCGGUGAAAUGCGUAGAUAUUCAUGGGAACGCCAAUGGCGAAGGCAGCUGACUGGGCCUGUUCUGACGCUCAUGUACGAAAGCGUGGGGAGCAAACAGG